GCGGCCAUAGCCUAAUGGUUAUCGCGUUUGCCUCCCACGCGAAGGGCCAGGGUUCGAUUCCUGGCCGCG
rfam:Ixodes scapularis strain Wikel colony gcontig_1108378886910, whole genome shotgun sequence.